rnacentral:rRNA from 1 species
UACGUAGGGGGCAAGCGUUGUCCGGAAUCAUUGGGCGUAAAGCGCGCGUAGGCGGCCCGGUAAGUCCGCUGUAAAAGUCCAGGGCUCAACCCUGGGAUGCCGGUCGAUACUGCCGGACUAGAGUUCGGAAGAGGCGAGUGGAAUUCCCGGUGUAGCGGUGAAAUGCGCAGAUAUCGGGAGGAACACCUAUGGGCGAAGGCAGCUCGCUGGGACGUUACUGACGCUGGAGACGCGAAAGCGUGGGGAGCAAACAGG